rnacentral:rRNA from 1 species
AUUGAACGCUGGCGGCAGGCCUAACACAUGCAAGUCGAGCGAGCGGCGGACGGGUGAGUAAUGUCUGGGGAUCUGCCCGAUGGAGGGGGCUAACUACUGGAAACGGUGGCUAAUACCGCAUACUAUCAGAUGAACCCAUAUGGGAUUAGCUAGUAGGUGGGGUAAAGGCUUACCUAGGCGACGAUCUCUAGCUGGUCUGAGAGGGUGACCAGCCACACUGGGACUGAGACACGGCCCAGACGCCUACGGGAGGCAGCAGUGGGGAAUAUUGCACAAUGGGCGCAAGCCUGAUGCAGCCAUGCCGCGUGUAUGAAGAAGGCCUUAGGGUUGGAAAGUACUGUCAGCGGGGAGGCGUUACCCGCAGAAGAAGCAACGGCUAACUCCGUGCCAGCAGCCGCGGUAAUUC